rnacentral:lncRNA from 10 species
UCUAGACUUUUCCAAAGGAUAGAGUGACUGGAGUGUAGCUGCCGCCGCCACCACCACCACCACCACCACCACCACCAUCUUAUCACCGCCAGCAAUGAGAUCUCAAGACAUUCUGUAAACAUUUCUUUGGCAUGUAUCAGUGUCCCUGAGAGCGUUGAUAAUCUGCUUGAAUGUGAGCUCAAUGCUGGGACGGCCUCCCCGGACUUGGCAGGCAGCCCUUGAACAAACCUUUUGUGCCUGCAUCCCUCUGAUGGACAGGCACUGAGGAUGCCGGUGACCCAGCUUCUAGAAAGAAUCACAGCAGGGAAGGGGCAUUGCUAAGUAGUCUUCCAACCUGGGGACACAAGCUAAAAAUGAGAGAAAACUCAGAUCAACAGUGCUGCUGAGCUUAUUACGUUUAAGACGAAAAACAAUACCUGAUUAAAGCAACAAAACACCUGGAUAUUUUGCAGUUAGCCCCGUUAAUCAGAGAAGGAUGAGCCUUGGGGCUGUGGCUCAGGUUCCUAAUCCUGUUGCUAGAGUUUUUCACUUUUGUUCUCAUUUCUGCGGCUGACAUGGGAUCCUACAGAUUGUUUAUCCCAAGGCUGUCUGGGCCUGGGCUCUGUGAACAGUGUCACUCUAAAAAUAACAGGCUGUGCCGAGAAUAGCAGACUUUCUCCUUUUUCCUGCAGAAGACGACUUCUCAGCUCCUUGGAGGGGUCAGUACGAGGUGAGAGCCAUAGAAAGAUGGCAACGAAAAAGAAAGAGACAUUCUGCAAUGGGUUGAAUGGGGUCUCCCUGACAUUUACAUCACCCAGAACCUCAAAAUAUGACCUUAUCUGGAAACAGGGUCUUUUGAGAUGUCAUGGAUUCUGCUGCCAUCAGCAGAGAGACAGAAAGGUCUGCCCUCUGGAAGUCAGCUGAAGCCCAGUGCAAAGUGCAGCUGGUCAAGACAUUGUGGUUCUCAAUCAGGAACCCUUUGCAAUGUCAGCCUCCCCUAGGAUGAGUGAGCAAGCUUGGCGGGAAUAUGGGGGUGUUGAUUAUGGUCUCUCCUCUGGGACAUUCAGAAUCAAUCUGUCCGUCGCAAGAUCGAAAUAAAGUGGUGAUAUAGAUGAGUCUGAGAACUUAUCUACAACUCACAGCAGCAACUCUCUGUGUAAAUGUUAAUUGUACAAUCAGGGUAAAAAAAAUAACUCUAAUACCAUAUGUGCAUGUUAGGAAAUUAUCUAAGUGCAUAUGGAAUCGGGAGCUCAGAGGCUGAAGGAACUGAAAGGAUUUUCCAUAUAAAAUUCUUUACUGCAUGUUACAGGCUGAAUUGUGUUUCCUCAAAAUUUAUAUGUUAAAUCCUAAACAUUGGGACCUCAGAAUGUCACUGUAUUUGGAGAUAAGGUCUUUAAAGAGGUGAUUAAGGUAAAAUGAGGUCACUAAGAUGGGCACCAAUCCAAUAGGACUGGGGUCUUUAUAAGAAGAGAAUAUUAGGACACAGACAUAAAUACAGGGACGACCCUGUGAGGACAAAGGGAGAAGACAGCAUCUACAAGCUCAGGAGAGAAGCUUUAGGAGGAGCCAACCCUUCCCAUACCUUGAGCUUAGACUUCCAGCCUCCAGGACUGUGGGAGAAUAAAUGUCUGCUGUUUGUAAACCACCCAGUCUAUGGUGUGCUGUUAUAGCAGCCUGAAAUGGACUAAGCCAUCUCAUAAGAAGAGGAGACAGAUACACACAGAGGGACAACCAUUUGAGGACACAGGGAGAAGACAGUGUCUACAAGCUCAGGAGAGAGGCCUCGAGAGGAACCAGCCCUGCCCACACCUUGAUCUUGGAAUUCCAACCUCCAGGACUGUGGAGAAUAAGUGUCUGUUGCUUGUAAGCCAUUAAGUCUAUGGUAUUAUGUUACAGAAGCCUGAAAUUGACUAAGACAUCUCAUAAGAAGAAGAGAUGAGGACACAGACACACACAGAGGGACGACCACAUGAGGACACAGGGAGAAGAUGGCAUCUACAAGGCUACGAGAGAGGCUUCAGGAGGAACCAGCCGUGCUCACCCCUUGAUCUCAGAUUUCCAGCCUCCAGAACCGUGAGAAAAUAAAUCUUUGUUGUUUAAGUCACCUGGUCUGUGGAACUUUCUUAUGGAAGUCCUAGAAAACUAAUAUACUGCAUGAAAAGAAACCUUCCUAUAACAUCAUUCAUGAGGAUAAAUUUAGCUUGUAUUGUGUUUCUUCAUCGUCAAUAACUUAGAAUAAAAUGUGAGAAGAACAGUAAUGUAAACAUACUGAUAUUUACCCCAAAUGGGAAAAUUGUAGCUAGUAUUUUCCCUCAAGAAGAUCUGUUCCCUUUAUUAUAGAAUUGCUAUUCCAACCACUUCAAUAUUAUAAUUCCUACUAUCUUCCUUAACAUCUCUAUAAAAUAAACCUUAAACAUUUUCCAUCAACAUCUUGCAAAUCAAUUUGCAGGCCAAAAAUUAUUUCUAACAUCUUCCUGAAUUUUUUCAUAUGAUAAUUUAAAUUUAUACUCUCUUUGUUUCCUUUGUGAAAAAACAAUUCCUAGUUAGAAUGAGAAGAAAGCCCCAAUUAUGUUGGGAUUAAAUGCCGG